GUCUGUUAUUGAUUACUUUAUAAAUGGGAAUCUCUCUGAAAGAAAAUGAACAUUAAUUUUAACCUGAUACAGUA
ensembl:snoRNA SNORD79 Small nucleolar RNA SNORD79